CUACGGGCUGCUGCAGUGAGGAAUAUUGCGCAAUGGGGGAAACCCUGACGCAGCGACGCCGCGUGGAUGAUGAAGGCCUUCGGGUCGUAAAAUCCUGUCAGAAGGAAAGAAGUGUAUGGUAGCUAAUAUCUGCCAUACUUGACGGUACCUUCAAAGGAAGCACCGGCUAACUCCGUGCCAGCAGCCGCGGUAAUACGGAGGGUGCAAGCGUUGUUCGGAAUUACUGGGCGUAAAGCGCGCGUAGGCGGUUUUAUAAGUCAGAUGUGAAAGUCCACGGCUCAACCAUGGAAGUGCAUUUGAAACUGUAAGACUUGAGUAUUGGAGGGGGUAGUGGAAUUCCCGGUGUAGAGGUGAAAUUCGUAGAUAUCGGGAGGAAUACCGGUGGCGAAGGCGACUAUCUGGCCAAAUACUGACGCUGAGGUGCGAAAGCGUGGGGAGCAAACAGGAUUAGAUACCCCCGUAGUC
rnacentral:rRNA from 1 species